UUCCCAAUGGCUCAGUGGGUAAAGAAUCUGCCUGCAGUGCAGGAGAUACAAGAGACUCAGGUUUGAUCCCUGGUUGGGAAG
rfam:Ovis aries breed Texel chromosome 18, whole genome shotgun sequence.